UCCCUGGUGGUCCAGUGGCUAAGACUCCGAGCUCCCAAUUCGAGGGGCCUGGGUUCGAUCCCUGGUCGGGGAA
rnacentral:tRNA from 1 species